UUGAGUCCCAAGUCUUGUGGGAAGUCAAUGUUUGGUGGGAAAUUAGUUUUUAAAUUGAACAGAAAGUUCUAAUUCUGUAUUGUUUCUUAAGUUUAAAUGACCCCGAUGUGAAUGGAGUGUUUUAUUUGAUUAAUGUGUGAAAGCUUAAAAGAUGUGUUGGCCCUGCGAUGAGGUGGCGACUUGUCUAGGAUGUACCCUGUUCCGCUCGAAUGCAGCUGAAAUAGGCUCCGGCGACCCCGAAAGGGACAAGCGGUAGAAAAUGGAUGGAUGGACGGAUGAGCAUUUUGGUGAACUAUGACCGUAUCAAAACAACGUGGACGCCGACAGGAGUAGACAACUUUUAAGAAUCAGCAUCGGCGUGUUUUCGCCGAGUGCCCUGGGCGGCAUAAUCGUCAAAUCCAUCAACACACUCGCUUGGCAUCAGAUCAGCACGGCGCCCUUUGAAGGAGAUGGACGUCACCGC